rnacentral:rRNA from 1 species
AGAGUUUGAUCCUGGCUCAGAACGAACGCUGGCGGCGUGCUUAACACAUGCAAGUCGAACGUGAUCCGGAGCUUGCUCCGGUGAAAGUGGCGCACGGGUGAGUAACGCGUGGAUAAUCUGCCCUGGUAUCUGGGAUAACAUCUCGAAAGGGGUGCUAAUACCGGAUAAGCCUACGGACUCUUCGGAGUCUGCAGGAAAAGGUGGCCUCUAUUUAUAAGCUACCGUAUCAGGAUGAGUCCGCGUACCAUUAGCUAGUUGGUGGGGUAAUGGCCCACCAAGGCUACGAUGGUUAGCUGGUCUGAGAGGAUGAUCAGCCACACUGGAACUGAGACACGGUCCAGACUCCUACGGGAGGCAGCAGUGGGGAAUUUUGCGCAAUGGGGGAAACCCUGACGCAGCAACGCCGCGUGAGUGAUGAAGGCUUUCGGGUCGUAAAGCUCUGUCAGAGGGGAAGAAAUGGGUCUGGCUAAUAUCCAGAUUUCUUGACGGUACCCUCAAAGGAAGCACCGGCUAACUCCGUGCCAGCAGCCGCGGUAA